GACGAACGCUGGCGGCGUGCUUAACACAUGCAAGUUGAACGAAGAGCGACGGAAGCUUGCUUCUAUCAAUCUUAGUGGCGAACGGGUGAGUAACGCGUAAUCAACCUGCCCUUCAGAGGGGGACAACAGUUGGAAACGACUGCUAAUACCGCAUACGAUCUAAUCUCGGCAUCGAGGAUGGAUGAAAGGUGGCCUCUACAUGUAAGCUAUCACUGAAGGAGGGGAUUGCGUCUGAUUAGCUAGUUGGAGGGGUAACGGCGCACCAAGGCGAGGAUCAGUAGCCGGUCUGAGAGGAUGAACGGCCACAUUGGGACUGAGACACGGCCCAGACUCCUACGGGAGGCAGCAGUGGGGAAUCUUCCGCAAUGGACGAAAGUCUGACGGAGCAACGCCGCGUGAGUGAUGACGGCCUUCGGGUUGUAAAGCUCUGUUAAUCGGGACGAAAGGCCUUCUUGCGAAUAGUGAGAAGGAUUGACGGUACCGGAAUAGAAAGCCACGGCUAACUACGUG
rnacentral:rRNA from 1 species